rnacentral:rRNA from 1 species
UACGAAGGGGGCGAGCGUUGUUCGGAAUUACUGGGCGUAAAGGGCGCGCAGGCGGCUCUGAAAGUCAGAUGUGAAAGCCCCGGGCUUAACCUGGGAACUGCAUUUGAUACUCUAGAGCUUGAGUACGGGAGAGGAGAGUGGAAUUCCCAGUGUAGAGGUGAAAUGCAUUGAGAUCGGAAAGAACACCAACGGCGAAAGCACUCUGCUGGGCCGACACUGACACUGAGAGACGAAAGCUAGGGGAGCGAAUGGG